rnacentral:rRNA from 1 species
GACAGAGGAGCCAAGCGUUGUCCGGACUGACUGGGCGUAAAGCGCACGCAGGCGGCUUGGCACGUGGGGUGUGAAAGCGGCAGGCUUAACUUGCCGAGGCCAUCCCAUACGGCCGGGCUGGAGCCAUGCAGAGGCCCGUGGAAUUGCCGGUGUAGUGGUGAAAUGCGUAGAGAUCGGCAGGAACACCCAGGGGGAAACCAGCGGGCUGGGCAUGAGCUGACGCUCAGGUGCGACAGCGUGGGGAGCGAACCGG